rnacentral:rRNA from 1 species
GUUGAACGCUGGCGGCGUGCCUAAUACAUGCAAGUCGAGCGAACAGACGAGGAGCUUGCUCCUUUGACGUUAGCGGCGGACGGGUGAGUAACACGUGGAUAACCUACCUAUAAGACUGGGAUAACUUCGGGAAACCGGAGCUAAUACCGGAUAACAUGUUGAACCGCAUGGUUCAACAGUGAAAGACGGUCUUGCUGUCACUUAUAGAUGGAUCCGCGCCGCAUUAGCUAGUUGGUAAGGUAACGGCUUACCAAGGCAACGAUGCGUAGCCGACCUGAGAGGGUGAUCGGCCACACUGGAACUGAGACACGGUCCAGACUCCUACGGGAGGCAGCAGUAGGGAAUCUUCCGCAAUGGGCGAAAGCCUGACGGAGCAACGCCGCGUGAGUGAAGAAGGUCUUCGGAUCGUAAAACUCUGUUAUUAGGGAAGAACAAAUGUGUAAGUAACUAUGCACGUCUUGACGGUACCUAAUCAGAAAGCCACGGCUAACUACGUG